rnacentral:rRNA from 1 species
GCAAGUCGCACGAGAACGCUUCAGCUUGCUGAAGUUAGUAAAGUGGCGCACGGGUGAGUAACGCGUGGGUAAUCUUCCCCCGAAUCGGGGAUAACAUUGCGAAAGCGAUGCUAAUACCGGAUGACAUCUUGGGUACCCAGGUAUCUAAGAUCAAAGGUGGCCUCUACAUGUAAGCUACUGUUUGGGGAUGAGCCCGCGUACCAUUAGCUUGUUGGUAGGGUAACGGCCUACCAAGGCUGCGAUGGUUAGCUGGUCUGAGAGGAUGAUC